rnacentral:rRNA from 1 species
GCCCCGACGACCCAUAAGAUGAAGGAGCAGCCAGCGCCACCAAGCGACCGCUCUUCCCCGCAAUUUACUGCCCCGUGCCACUAGCGCCAGCCGAUCCUCACGCUGCCGGCUGCUGCUUUUCCCGUCUCAUGGCCGGCGACCAAGAGGAGGCGGAGCGGGAGUCCCAGGCGCCGGCGCCGGCUGCGGAGCGGGUCGCCGCCGCGGUGGAGACCGUGGCGGCGCCCGGGGAGUUCCGGAACGCGUACCGGCGGCAGCUGCUGGCGCUGUCCCGCCGGAUUCGCCUCCUCGGACCCUUCGCCGAGGAGCUCCGCGAGCGCCGCCGCCCCCCGGGGGAGGAGGAGGAGCGGGCGCUGGCGACGCUCGCCGACGCGCUGGAGAAGGCGCUCGAGCUGCUCAAGCUCGGCCGCGAGGGGAGCAGGAUCUCUUUGGUUUUUGAUAGGGAUAGAGUAAUGAAUAUAUUUCAGGAAGUAGUUGCUCAGUUGGAACAAGCUUUGCUCGACUUUCCAUACAAUGAACUGGAUAUAUCUGAUGAAGUUAGAGAACAGGUUGAGUUAGUGCAUGCACAGCUCAAAAGAGCAAAAGAACGGGUUGAUAUGCCUGAUGAUGAGUUCUACAACGACCUAAUAUCUCUGUAUAACAAGACCUAUGACCCAAGUGCAGAACUGGCUAUCCUUGAAAGGUUGUCAGAAAAGCUACACCUCAUGACUAUCACUGAUCUCACGCAAGAGUCACUUGCUCUGCAUGAGAUGGUGGCAUCUGGUGGUGGCCAGGAUCCAGGAGAGCACAUUGAGAAAUUGUCAAUGCUACUGAAGAAAAUCAAGGACUUUGUGCAAACUAACAACCCUGAGAUGGGCCCUCCUAUGGCUUCCAAAAUAAUGGAUACCAGUGGGGACCAGAAAUCUGUCAUCGUUCCUGAUGAAUUCCGUUGUCCAAUUUCUCUCGAGCUGAUGAAAGAUCCUGUGAUAGUUGCUACUGGCCAGACAUAUGAACGGUCGUGCAUCGAGAAAUGGCUAGCAUCUGGGCAUCACACUUGCCCAACUACGCAACAAAGGAUGGCGAACACAACAUUGACGGCAAACUAUGUCCUUAGAAGUCUCAUCUCCCAGUGGUGUGAAACCAACGGAAUUGAAGCGCCUAAGCGCUCAUCCCAGCCUAACAAGCCAAUGCCAGCAUGCUCUUCUAGUGAACGUGCUAACAUUGAUGCUCUAUUAUCCAAGUUAUGCUCUCCAGACCCUGAGGAGCAGAGGUCAGCUGCUGCAGAGCUUCGCCUCCUCGCAAAGCGGAACGCACACAACCGAUUAUGCAUUGCUGAGGCUGGUGCAAUUCCCUUACUAUUGAGUCUGUUAUCGUCAUCUGACUUGCGGACUCAGGAACAUGCUGUUACUGCACUUCUGAACCUCUCCAUACACGAGGACAACAAGGCAAGCAUCAUGUCCUCUGGUGCUGUGCCUAGUGUUGUUCAUGUGCUGAAGAAUGGCAGUAUGGAGGCCCGGGAAAAUGCUGCAGCCACACUUUUUAGCCUCUCUGUGGUCGAUGAAUACAAAGUAAUGAUUGGGGGAACAGGGGCUAUCCCUGCCCUUGUAGUGUUGCUAAGUGAGGGCAGCCAGCGGGGUAAGAAAGACGCAGCAGCAGCUCUCUUCAACUUGUGCAUUUACCAAGGUAACAAAGGCCGUGCGAUACGAGCUGGCCUUGUGCCACUCAUCAUGGGUCUAGUAACCAACCCCACAGGAGCUCUCAUGGACGAGGCUAUGGCGAUACUCUCAAUACUAUCCAGCCACCAAGAGGGGAAGGCAGCUAUCGGGGCAGCAGAGCCUGUUCCUGCGCUUGUCGAGUUGCUCGGAAGUGGGUCACCGAGAAACAGAGAGAAUGCUGCAGCUGUGAUGCUGCAUCUGUGCAGCGGCGAGCAACAGCUUGUGCAUUUAGCCCGUGCGCAUGAGUGCGGGAUCAUGGUUCCGUUGCGGGAGCUGGCAUUGAACGGCACAGAAAGGGGAAAGAGGAAGGCAGUGCAGUUGCUCGAGCGGAUGAGCAGAUUCGUGGUUCAACAACAAGAGGAACAGGAAUCUAAUUCUCGGCUGCAGGCCACCGUGGCACAAGUUUUCCCUCAGGCCCCCGAACAGGUCCAAGAAAGGGAAAUCCCCGAUCAAUUGGAGAGUCCGGCGUCUCAAUACCCCACGUUGUUAUGAAUACAGUGCCGAUAUUGUCCUACCUCUUGGACCUGUUCAUCCGUUCGAUACUAGCGCAGGUGGGAGUCAAUCAUGCCAACCGAGAGAUGUAAUCAUGUGACAAGCCUCUACUGCCAGGUGAGGUAUUUGAAAUUUAUAUUUGCCGCCUUCUUCCAGCUUGUAACUGAAACACUCGUCAGGUUGUCGUGGGCAUGUCAGCCCAGUCUUGAGGUAUGUACAGCUCUUCAAUCCACAGUUUCAGAUAUCAUGUAGCCGCAGAACACAAGGUUCUCCAAAUGUAGUAUAUCCUCAGUGUAAUAGUAAUGAUGAUUUAUGUAAAAGAGAAGAUUUUAUGGUGGGUUUAACUAG